CACGUUAUGUGGGCACUCUAAGGAGACUGCCGGUGGACAAACCGGAGGAAGUGGGGAUGACGUCAAGUCAUCAUGGCCCUUACGGCCUGGGCUACACACGUGCUACAAUGGUCGGUACAAAGGGUUGCCAAGCCGCGAGGUGGAGCUAAUCCCAUAAAACCGAUCGUAGUCCGGAUCGCAGUCUGCAACUCGACUGCGUGAAGUCGGAAUCGCUAGUAAUCGUGAAUCAGAAUGUCACGGUGAAUACGUUCCCGGGCCUUGU
rnacentral:rRNA from 1 species